UAAUAUUGUACAUAUAUUUUUUUUUUUUAAUUAAUGAAUUAAUCAAUCAAAAAUAAUCAAAAAGUAUUUCUGCUAGUGUUGAUAUAAACGGAGUAGUGAUGAAAUAAUGAUAAUUAUAAAAUAAAGGGCACGUAUUUUUUUUUGUUAAUAAUAGAAAUAUGUAGAUAUAGAGACGUAGUUGUUGUACAAGACGUUGUCAUUAAUCACUUGCAAAGUUUAGCUAAAAUAAUUUAGCUGCAACUAGUUAAGCACAGAUAGUCUAGUGCAUUGUGGUCCUUGAAAGUUGUCGGAUAUUUAACGCAAAGGCUUGUUUGUUAAGUAAGAUGCUGGUAUAUUAAUUGAGCACUUGCCAGGUUUCACACUUUAACAGUGUAUGAUGUUAUGAACACCGAAGAGCAAGGAUGAUGAGCUUUACGCCCCUUGUGGUAUGUUAUUAUCUAACUUACUAGCUUCUUAUUCGCCCAACUAUCUCUACGUAAGAUGUCUUCAUGUAAUCGUGUUACGUUCCAGUGGAGUCUUGUGAAGAUGAUUCAAUUCAUAUUUCAAAAUUAGGCAGCCGUCACUUUCGGAGUUAAUUUCACACCGAGGAAUUAAAUAAACUGUCAUCCGCUUCGCAUUCACUCCGGAAAUUUUCUAUAGUGUAAUAAUGAUAAUAAUUACCAGGAGUAUCUGAAGCAGAGUCACUAUUUUCAAUAACUUUAGGACUUGCUGCAGUUCCUUGAUUGUCUUUAGAUGAAGUGCUGCUAGUUUUAUUAACUGGUGACCGUGACAUUCGCGACUGCGGUGACUUUGAUGACCUACUUUGUAAAUUUAUAGACCUGCUCGAUCCUUUAUCAUCUGCGUAAUUAAUUACUCUGUCUGAUGCCGAUUGCCGAGACACUGAUUGAUAAAUUCCCCGUGGUCUUGUAGCGAAAUGAUUUAAGUUAAGACCACGUGUGCAUCUACUGUCAACUUUACCGUAACCGUACCAGCCUAAUAAUUCGCUCAUUGCCUUGGCAGCAUACUCCUGUAAAAAAUAAAGAUUUUUAUUCGAA